UUACUAGCCUCAGAACAUGGCUAUGGCUCCUCAACACCUCCAUUGCAAAGGAAUUUGCGAGGUUCGUCGCCGUAGCUCCGCUUCUUACAUCCCUUCUCUCGACUUUCUAUUGCUUCACUCCUGCUGGAUCGUCUGGAUUACCUCGCCUUCCGCCAAGUUGUUGAGAGUGAGCCGUGCCUUGAAUUGCCUUUGUUGGACGAGAAUUUUAAUUCGAGAAACUAACAGUUUAAAAACCUCAAGAGUCUGAACUGGACACCACAUCUUGCAAGUAUAACAUUUGUACUCCCCUGUUGGAAAAGGUGAAUCACCUUGAUACACUCGGAGAAUGAGGAAGCGGAGGAUGCCCAAAUGUAGCGCAUCGAUAGUUUUUCGUAUUAGCUGUAAUGUGCUUAUCACCACAGCAGAAGUUUCCCACUGCAACCGGCAGCUGCCGAGAAUGUAAGGGCCCAGGUCGACACUGCCUUUGGUAGCGCUAAAAAUGACGCUUAUGAGAUUGAUACAGAUGAAGACUUCGUAACUGCGUUGGAAUAUGUGAUGCCUCCAACUCCUGAAAUGGUGAGAAGUUCGACUUAGAAAUUAAGCAAUUUCUACACCUUUUCCCUAUGAAAAUAGUGUAAUCAUCCGUUUCUUUUCCACGUGUCUUAUCUGCUGGUAAAAGCUGUGUGUUGAAUCCAUUCUUGUGAGUGUUUUGGAUCAGUUCUGGAUCAGCAAUGAAAUCAGAAGAGAGGUUUUAUGAUUGGCUACAUAAGUGGACAGCUGUACUGGAUUGUAAUUGCCAGGCCAUUUAUAUCAA